AAGAUCUCAUGUAUCAAAACAAAUCCUCAAAAAUUCUCUCUCUCUUCCUCACCCAUCACUCACGCCUAACUCUCUCUCCCUCAUCUCUCACUUUCCACCAUUGUCAACCAUUGUAGAGACCUCCGAAGCUUCACAAAAUCAUACCAAACACAUCAAUCCACUCCAAAAUCUUACCUAAACACCUUCAAUCUCAUUGGAUUCAAGAAGAUCAUUGAAGUUUGAUUUCAAAGCUAGAGAGAGAAAAUUUGAUUUUGGGUGUAAGUUUGGACACGAGCAGAGCUAGGAAGUAAGUAACUCCGCUUUGACGGGAGAUUUUGAGUAAAGUCUUCAGGAAAUCCAAUUGGGAUCAUAUGCUAGACAAAGGUCGCUAGCUAGGGUUAACGUGUACACUCAUGGAGACCGCGAGUCGCUUGUGACCGGUCUUGGCGUCCGUGGUAAGGAGGCCUCCUUCCUGGCACGUGACAGAAAGGAACAGAUAUGGAUCAUAUGAAGGAAAAUGGGUCGGCCGGCCAAUCUUAUGAAAAUGAAAUAAAUAUUUUAGUUGAGCAGCUGAUGGAAUGGAAUGAUGUUGAGCGGGCGUUCCUUUGAUCAUUUCAAGAAAUGUAACCUUGAGUAUACAUCUUCAUAUGUAUAUCUCACACGUUUUCCGCUGCAAAACACUUUGAUUAGGAUAACUCUAUGUUAGGAAAUUGUGACACGUGUUUGGGUAACCCACCUUAAUCAGUUCUACUUUAUGUGUAUGUUUUAUAAAUAUCCAAAUGAUCAUAUAUGAUCCUAGCAUUUUAUCUAUAAGUGACACUUCCAUAUACUUUAAUGUUAAGUAAU